UUAUCUUGAUAUGAGAUCACCAUGUCGCGUACAUAUGGCUGUAAUGCAUGUGCCUGGUGUACCCUUGUCGGACGGGUAGUCAAGAUGGGGAGAGCGGUUCGGCAG